GACGAACGCUGGCGGCGUGCUUAACACAUGCAAGUCGAACGGAAAGGCCCUGCUUUUGUGGGGUGCUCGAGUGGCGAACGGGUGAGUAACACGUGAGUAACCUGCCCUUGACUUUGGUAUAACUUCAGGAAACUGGGGCUAAUACCGGAUAGGAGCUCCUGCUGCAUGGUGGGGGUUGGAAAGUUUCGGCGGUUGGGGAUGGACUCGCGGCUUAUCAGCUUGUUGGUGGGGUAGUGGCUUACCAAGGCUUUGACGGGUAGCCGGCCUGAGAGGGUGACCGGCCACAUUGGGACUGAGAUACGGCCCAGACUCCUACGGGAGGCAGAAGUGGGGAAUAUUGCAAAAUGGGCGGAAGAGUGAUGAAGCAACGCCGCGUGCGGGAUGACGGACUUCGGGUUGUAAACCGCUUUCGCCUGUGACGAAGCGUGAGUGACGGUAAUGGGUAAAGAAGAACCGGCUAACUACGUG
rnacentral:rRNA from 1 species